GAUGAAGAACGUAGUGAAAUGCGAUAAGUAGUGUGAAUUGCAGAAUUCAGUGAAUCAUCGAAUCUUUGAACGCACAUUGCGCCCUUUGGUAUUCCUUAGGGCAUGCCUGUUCGAGCGUCUUUUAAACCUUCAAGCUAAGCUUGGUGUUGGGUGACUGUCCGCUUCACGGCGGACUCGCCUCAAAAUUAUUGGCGGCCGGUACAUUGGCUUCGAGCGCAGCAGAAACGCGAACUCGGGCCCGUCGUAUUGGCUCCCAGAAGCUAUCUUCACAAUUUUGACCUCGGAUCAGGUAGGGAUACCCGCUGAACUUAAGCAUAUCAAUAAGCGGAGGA
rnacentral:misc_RNA from 1 species